ACGAAAAGAAGGAGCGGUCGCCGCCGUAGGGACGCGGCUGCUGUUCCGCAGCCGUGGGAACCUCCGGGGCGCCGUGAGGGGCAGUGCCGCCCGGUGCUCCGGACUCAGGUCAUGGGGAGCCCGGGUUCGUGGGGGAAUCGCCCGGAGCGCGAAGGGGCCCGGACAACAUCGCAUGAGCGCGAGUAUCCGGGCCGCCCGCGGGGAUGCGGGAACCAGCGUGUGCUGGAAGCCCUUCAGCUGUCAGUGGAACCCGGUGUAAUUUGCAACCCAAAAGUCUUUUCUCGUUUUGUGUCAGAAGGGAAGCUUGUUGCCCGCGCAGUUCGCCCAGCCGGGGUGUCACUGUGCGCAACCAGCGGGGAGGCCGGGCGGGGGUGUCACCCGCCCCCGGCCGAACGCUGCCUGCCACAGUCUGAGGUGAAGAGUAGGUAUUUCACUCUCCGGGGGCCAGCUGCUGAGGAGAAAUCGCGUAUACAAUCAACAGCCUUUGUCAGCCAGAUUUCUCUUCCGCCUGCUUCUUUCCAUGUGACAGCAACCAGCUGCGAUGAAGGUUGAAGACAUUUCUAAAACCAAAGACCCAAAGCACUGGCGCUUAUACUCAGCCUUCAGCUGCACAAAAGAAAUGUUCAUGUUUCUCACGUGCAAAGGUGAAAAAGAGAUAUCAAAGUAAGCACCUUGCUAGUUUACUGUGGUUUUAGGUGAAGAGUGUGUCUCAUCCAGUGAUAAAUGAAUUGUGUGGAAGGUGCUAGGUGAAAGGUGGACGGUCCCGCACUAUCAUUUACUGUACAUUGUAAAGAACUGAAGAUGUACAAGAGGAAAUGAACCAGGGAAGACAGGAGAAAAACCUGGGAACACAAGUGUUUAUAUGAUGCUGUACUGACUUAGUAUCUUCCAAAAUAUCGGGUGGGGACAAGAUGGCAACCCAUUCUGCUCUACUUACAGGCCCUUCUGCCUCUACUUAAGAGCUUGUAACUGUGUAAGGAAGUGUAAGGAAGGGAGAAUACGGAAGAAAAUCCUGAUUUUACACCAUAAAAAUAGUUUUAAAUGCAUGCAUAUACAAGACUCCUCAAUAUGCAGAUCUCUCAGAAGUGACUUGAGUCUUACUGUAAAGGAAAACCAGUAGGAACCAAGUGCUUCCAAAGUCCUUCUCAGCAAUCCUAGGUUCUUCAGUUUUACACACUUUCUGUAAAGUACACACUUUCUUUGUAAGUAUGUGUGUAUUUUAGUGGAAUGGGAAAUACUUAAACUAUAGAAUACUGGCAGCAUUUCUUUCCUUGCAGACAUAUGUAAAAAGAUAAAACACUUGGAAGCACUUUACAAGAUGGCAUUUUGUGGGAUUUUUUGUGGGUUUUAUUUUUUGAGGUUUGUUUGUAUGUUUUUGGUUUUGUUUUUUUUUUUAAUUUUGUAGACCAAACAAUUAUUGUAUCCUGAAGCCAUCUUGGGGAAAUUUACAUGCCUCCCUUGUGGGUGGUGUAAAUAACAAGAAAUAUAGUACAUGUCCAAUGGCUAUGUGCUGGUAUUGUCCUCAUCUUCUAAUCACUUGUAUUCCUUGAUUAUUUUUUCUUUUUAAAAACUUUUGAUGUUUGUUCCUGUGUAGAUCUCGCCAUACUGCCUGGAUGUUACUGGCAAUGCAUUUUGCUUCAUACUGCUCUUUUCAGACCAGCUGGCUGGUGGUUAUUCUUAAGGGCCUUUUAACCUUCAGGCUCUAUUGUUAGGAUUUUGUUUGCUUUUUUAAUAAGGGGAGGCAGGAAAGGGAAGAAAAGAGGGCUAUUUUCAGUGCCUGUGUUUCAUUAAUUAUUCAAAAGCUGUUUCUGUUUUUACACCAUGGCUAAGCAGUGAGUCCUGAAGGGAAGGGGAAAUACCAAUAUCUGUCAAUACAUCCAAGGGAUCCACUGAAAAAAUAUUUUUGCCUUCUAUAUGUUUGCAGUAAUUUCAGCAAAAACCUGCUGUUUCUGCAUAAAACAUCCAAUUUGAAGCAAAGUUCUCUCAAGGAAAGCCACCAAGUAGAGUUACCUGUCUGUAUUUUGAGGAUGUAGGAGUGCUCUUGUUGACUUAGGGAAAUUGCUGUUUAUUGGAGGCUGUGUUCUGAAUUUCUCACUGCAAUCCUUAGGAUUCAAAUUGUGUUACCCAUUGCUGAUGUUUAUGAGCUUCUUGGGAAGCUGCUCUUUCAUAUUUUUUCCAUUUCAGGAUGCCAGCUAAAGGUACUGAAAUACAUUGGAAAAUGCAUAAUGUGUAUCAAAAUAAUGACAAGUGGAAUGGUCUGGGACAAGAGCAAACCUCACUGCAGUGACCAGAAGAGCAUGGCUGAGGUAGAUCAGGAGUGAGAGCGUAUGAUUACUGUGACCACACAGGAGGGGUAUGUCAACAGGGCAGACUGGGAAUGAACAAAAGUGAAGCAGGCUGCUUUACCCUCAGUACCCUUUUUGGUUAGGCCUGUAGAAAACACCAGUCUGCUCACUGCAAAACCGCUUGUGGUAACUGAAAAUGAGGAACUGUCUUUGUGGUUGGAAGUGGGUUUGCAGCUGUGAAGACGCAAGUUCUCUUUUUUGAGUAAAUCAUAUUUUUCUCAAAGAGACCCUGUUGAAGAGGAUUGAUUUGCUCUGUUACUGAAUUGAUGUCAGAUAACAUAUUAGUUAUUUGACUGAUAACAGCCUUAUUCACUUUCACUCUGUGUUCUGAACCUUUAAAAGCUGAGGAAUCGCAGCCCUGAGAGGUACCCCCUGGAGGUGACUGAAUCAUCUAUUAAGUUAGGGUUCAUUUUUGACUCAGUCACAGUAUUUCCUUUCUCAGAAAUUUUUCAUUUUCUGUUUCAGGUGAGGAUCAAACCUAUGGUGUUUUAUUUUCUCUAUACUGAAUUGGUAUGCUAUAGGUUUCAAUAAAAAAAUGACAUGAUUUAGCAACAAAUGUUGCCAAAGACAACAAUUAAGUUUUAUUUUAAUUGGUCAGUAAAGCCUCUGCUGAUUCCAUGUGGCUGUGGAAAUGUGUCAGUAGGAAGCAGCCUCCCCCUUGGUGGGCAGUCUGUGCAGCGGAGUGUCCUUGCCGCAAGAGUGAGCAGGCUGCAGCCUGAGAACCAGUGCUGUGGCACAAUAAGUUCUUUCAUUUCUUGCACGAAUCCUGUCUUAGGUGCCAGCUUUUCUGUUCCUGUAUUGCCCACUGUAUAUGUAAUUUGUAUCUUUUCUAGCUCUCAUUUUUGAUAUCGGACAACUUACUUGAAGAAAAGCAAUUUGUGCCCUUCCAGUUUACUCAACAAAGGAUAAGUUUGGUUUUACUUUGGAUAUAGAAUUGUACUUUCAAGUUAUGGGGAUAUCUAGAUCUUUUCAAGAGCUCUUCAGCAGUUUGUUUUUUUUUGGCCUAAAGCAUUAGACUAUAUUGCUCUCCUUUUCAAGACUGGGGAAGAUGGACCAAAAACAUACUGGAAAUUGAGGUGUCCUCUCUCCUAUUAUUUACUGAUCAUUGCCUGCAGCAACAGUUCUAUAGCUGCUCUGUAAAUUAGAGGAAAACAUUUUUCUUUCCCCAGCCCAGGUAGCAUCUGGCCUUGUGUUCGAGCUCAUUGGCACAGGGUUUGUUGAAACGCUCUUCUUAUUCUCUUUGCUUGGUCUAUAACUCAGCAAAGGUAUGACUUCUUGAAUUUUAAACUCAGCAAUAACCAUGAGUGGAGUAAAUAAGUUAAUCUUGUUUUAUUUGCAGGUAUGAAUGGGAAUCUUUAUUCCUUCCUGUAAGUUUCCUGACAAUUUUUGAAUUCAAUGUAAUUAAAUUCCCCUUUAGCCAUUAGUCAGCCACCAUGGAGCUCAAGAACUUCACCAGUUAAAAAAAGCAAGAAAGAAACAUGUUCUUUCCUUACUGUGAUCUGCAAAUCUGUUGUUAGAGCACAUUUUCUUAACAACAAAAAUCUUGCUCUGGCUUUGAAACGUCAGUUCUUAUUUGCAGCGUGACUGACCUCCCACCCUGAUCAGCAUGGUUCUGACCAGGAAGCCUUGUCUUUACUGAGAGGAGGGAAGCACAGGCAAGUGCAUGGAAAACCCACUCUUUUUACUGUAAGUGAUAAGAACAAAGUAUGUACUUGCCCUCUAAAAUCUGCCUUCAGGUCAAUAGUUUACUCCCAACAGGUCAAUGAACAACUGGCAAAUAUGUAAUGCAACUCAGCAACAAUUGCUUUUUGGAUCCUGAUGGAUGACUUAAUAACUUUUAUACAGUUUUUAUUUCUAUUUUUAAUUUUCUUUUUUUCUUUAAUUCUUUAUCUGGUACAUAACAACAUUAAGGAAUAGGCAUGAGCUACUUUGCUGAGUUUGUGCUGCAGCUCAGACCAGCAGAUCCUUGCUGCAGCCCUGUGGUGUGUCAGGGCUGGCCAUGUCCUGGCAGUCCUGCUCUGCUGCUGCUGCUCUUCAAGAGGUCAAAGACUGAGAUUCUGUCAAAGGGCAGAUUUGGGUCCAGACAUGGGGUUUCUCUGUUGCAUCAUACUGUCUCUGAUACUUCAAUUGUUUUGCUUACAUGUGGGUUUUGCCAGUCAAUGCAAAUAUUUGGGGAGGAGGGAGAAAAGAGAGAGCAGUCUUUAUGCAUCAGUGUUCUUGCAGGUGUAUGGCUCCACCUCAUAAAGCAAGACUGAGAACAUGCAUAUCUUGAUCAGCCUGAUUUUUGUGUUUGGGGAGUUUGUGUUAAGUAACUUAUAUAAGCUGCAGGCCAACUAGAGCAACUGGUACAGUGAAUUAUAUUGUUUUUAUAGGGAAAAGAGAAUAUACUUAAAAAUCUAAAAUCUUAAAUGUAUAUUGUAGGAGUUUUAAUAUAUGUAAACAAAACAAAAUUGAACAUGCUUCAAACUGGCUUGAGAAGAUGGAUGAAAACUAUCAAUUUUUUUUCAAAACUACUGUGUUGCUUAGUGCAUAUAAGAUAAGAAAAUAAGAAAAUCUGUAGUUUGUGCAGUUGUUUCACUUCUGAGAGAAUUAAGUCUAAAAGUACUUUUUUGGUUUUGAUUGCGUUCUAGUAAGUAAAUACAGUUAAAUUUCCUUAAAGACCUUAGGAAUAUCUGGAAUUUAGUACAGACAGCCAGGUUAUUUUAAUUGGUACAUUCCUGGCUCCCCUAUUAUUAUUUUCAAUUAAUACUGACUCUUCCCAUGGUGUGUUAGGAUGGCACAUACAAAUUAUGUCAGUGCUUUAUGUGGAUAUCUACUUGGCUCAUGCUCACCAAUCUUCCUGAAGGAGAUGUCAUCCAAUAAGAAAAUACCUACCUGACUUUUUAUAAGUAAAAUGCUGGUAUAUGUGUAGCAUAGCACUUCCUGAAGCCCUGUAUUGUUUUGGUGCCCAGCUGCCUUUUAAGUACAUAUGUGAGAGCCCAGUGGCUGAUCUGGGGAGGAGCUGUUAAACUUGGAGAACAUCCACAGCAGUCCCCCUCCUAAAACUAAGCAGUCUUUAGUAAAUAUUAAAUAAAUAUUUAUUUAAUAAAUAAAAUUAAUAAAACAUCCUGAAGUAGUGAAAUUUAGUUCAGUUUCUAUACUUCAUGACAAAUAAAUUUUGGAAGAUGUGUAACUUUUUUAUUCAUUGAUAUUGUUAUUCUUCAAGUCUAUCAUUACAUGUGUUAAAUAUAUAUAUUUAUGACAUUAUAUAUAUAUGACAGCUUCAGACCUACCAUUUUGAAAUGUAGAUUGUUGCUACAGUGUAACAUGUAACACUGACCUGUUUUGUCUGGUUAGCUUUCUUGACCUUGAUUUUUCUCAUGUCUAUUUAAAAGAUGAAACCCAGCACUUUUAUUUAAAAUACUGUCACAAUAACUAAAGUACAACAAGUUGCUGUUCAAUAACUAGAAAAGCUACAGCACAGCUAAUAAUGUUUUCUGAGAACAUACUUGCUACUGCUGUAGCAGCUCUUUCACAGAGGUCGUGGCGGGGAGCCAGAGGAGGUUGGUAGACAGCUAGGCAACCAGAAAAGAACAAGUUUGUCAGCAUGUAUAGCUGAUUAACCUGAGGAUAUUUUCCAUAAGCAUAGCCUGCAGUGCUUGCUUAAGGUGGGGGGGGGUUAAUUUUUCACUAAACUUCCUAAAAGCUAAGCCAUUUUUAACUGUAGUAGAAAGUAAUUUGUUCAAUUCAAAUGGAAUAAGGCUCCAUAAGAGUUUUAUGUUAUUUUAAUUCUGCCUACACAUUGCGUUAGGCUGAGGUGUAUUUCAUAUAUAGGCAAUAUAAGGUUAUUCCCAUAAAGAUACAUUAUGACAAUUAUUUUUGAUAGGUGAUUUUAUUUCUGCUAGUUCGAGUGAUCAGAACAAGAGAACAUGAGAAACAUUUAUUGGCAGAAGAGGCAGCCUUUAGCUAUGUUCUCCUGCUUGUGAAUGCCAUCUAGAUUGCCAGCAUGUAAUAGGAAAUAAAUUAACUUGCUUUUCUAGGUUGCUUAUUGUUAUACAUGUUACAUAAGUCUAUGGGAAUAUGAAUGGUCUAAGUUUUAUGGUGUUCUGUAACCCAGAAUCUCUGUGCAAGUAUGACUGAAUCAUAGUUCCAAUCUCCAGAGCAGGUUUAGGUGUAUUCAACUGCUGCACUGAAUCUAUACUUCUCCUUUCUCCAGCUCUCUCCAGGUGCAAGGUCAAGGAUGAAAAGAGAAUAUUUCCCAGGCCUGUGUCAUGCAGAGACUUCCUUCACACUGAAAUAACCCAGUGUUUGCCUAAGGAACAGUAUAAAGCAGAUGGACUAAGAUAAAUGCACAAACUCUAAACUUUCAAAAGAGAAGACAAAUCAAUUCAUAUUUAUACAGUUGGGUUUUUAAAAAUUAACUAAUAACUUACUCAAUUCUUAAUAUUGUUCUUGAAUAUACUAGAUAUUUGCCGAUA